UACGGAGGGGGCUAGCGUUGUUCGGAAUUACUGGGCGUAAAGCGCACGUAGGCGGCUUUUCAAGUUGGGGGUGAAAUCCCCGGGCUUAACCCGGGAACUGCCUCCAAAACUGAAAAGCUCGAGUCCGAGAGAGGUGAGUGGAAUUUCCAGUGUAGAGGUGAAAUUCGUAGAUAUUGGAAAGAACACCAGUGGCGAAGGCGGCUCACUGGCUCGGUACUGACGCUGAGGUGCGACAGCGUGGGGAGCAAAC
rnacentral:rRNA from 1 species